rnacentral:misc_RNA from 1 species
UCCUCAUUUAAAUGAGGCAGUCCGUCCGAAGUGCUUCGAACUCUCGUCCGAGUGGCAACAGGACGCAAGGGUUGCGCUCGUUGCGGGACUUAACCCAACAUCUCACGACACGAGCUGACGACAGCCAUGCAGCACCUGUGUAUCCUGGUAUUGCUACCUCGUCAGGCUUUCACCCUUCUACUAGAUACAUGUCAAGGCCAGGUAAGGUUCUUCGCGUUGCAUCGAAUUAAGCCACAUACUCCACCGCUUGUGCAGGCCCCCGUCAAUUUCUUUGAGUUUUAAUCUUGCGACCGUACUUCCCAGGCGGCGCAUUUAACGCGUUAGCUUCGCCACGAACGGGGUCGAUUCCGCUCACAGCAAAUGCGCACCGUUUACGGCUAGGACUAC